UGGCAUUGGAAUGAUUUACAAGG
rnacentral:siRNA from 1 species